rnacentral:rRNA from 1 species
UAGGGAAUCUUCCACAAUGGACGCAAGUCUGAUGGAGCAACGCCGCGUGAGUGAAGAAGGUUUUCGGAUCGUAAAGCUCUGUUGUUGGUGAAGAAGGAUAGAGGCAGUAACUGGUCUUUAUUUGACGGUAACCAACCAGAAAGUCACGGCUAACUACGUGCCAGCAGCCGCGGUAAUACGUAGGUGGCAAGCGUUGUCCGGAUUUAUUGGGCGUAAAGCGAGCGCAGGCGGAAUGAUAAGUCUGAUGUGAAAGCCCACGGCUCAACCGUGGAACUGCAUCGGAAACUGUCAUUCUUGGGUGCAGAAGAGGAGAGUGGAAUUCCAUGUGUAGCGGUGGAAUGCGUAGAUAUAUGGAAGAACACCAGUGGCGAAGGCGGCUCUCUGGUCUGCAACUGACGCUGAGGCUCGAAAGCAUGGGUAGCGAACAGG